UACGAUGGGGGCUAGCGUUGUUCGGAUUUACUGGGCGUAAAGCGCACGUAGGCGGAUCGUUAAGUCGGGGGUGAAAUCCUGGAGCUCAACUCCAGAACUGCCUUCGAUACUGGCGAUCUUGAGUCCGGAAGAGGUGAGUGGAACUCCUAGUGUAGAGGUGGAAUUCGUAGAUAUUAGGAAGAACACCAGUGGCGAAGGCGGCUCACUGGUCCGGUACUGACGCUGAGGUGCGAAAGCGUGGGGAGCAAACAGG
rnacentral:rRNA from 1 species